NUCCAGCUGACGAGUCCCAAACAGGACGAAACGCGCGUCCUGGAU
rnacentral:hammerhead_ribozyme from 1 species